rnacentral:rRNA from 1 species
UACGUAGGGUCCGAGCGUUGUCCGGAAUUACUGGGCGUAAAGAGCUCGUAGGCGGUUUGUCGCGUUGUUCGUGAAAACUCACAGCUUAACUGUGGGCGUGCGGGCGAUACGGGCAGACUGGAGUACUGCAGGGGAGACUGGAAUUCCUGGUGUAGCGGUGGAAUGCGCAGAUAUCAGGAGGAACACCGGUGGCGAAGGCGGGUCUCUGGGCAGUAACUGACGCUGAGGAGCGAAAGCGUGGGGAGCGAACAGG